CAUGGCGCGAAUAAUUUUGGUGUUAUCACCCUGAUCCCCAAAGUAGUUGGGGCAACGGACAUUCGCCAAUUCAGACCUAUCACAGUUAUCAAUGUUCUGGAGCACAUCUUCUCUAAAGUUUGCACGAUUAGACUCGCGCCAGGUGCUGAGAGGAUGAAUCACCCUCUUCAGACAGCUUUCUUGAAAGGGAGACGAAUCCAUGAUGGGAUUUUGUCCCUUCACGAGAUUGUGCACGAGGUGCGAUCGCGUUGCCAGAAGGGUGUCUUUCUCAAGCUGGACUUCCAUAAAGCCUAUGAUCGGCUAGACUAG
rnacentral:rRNA from 1 species